rnacentral:rRNA from 1 species
GUUAGCCUACGGGGGGCAGCAGUAGGGAAUCUUCCACAAUGGACGAAAGUCUGAUGGAGCAACGCCGCGUGAGUGAAGAAGGGCUUUGGCUCGUAAAGCUCUGUUGGUAGCGAAGAAAGAUAGAGGUAGUAACUGGCCUUUAUUUGACGGUAAUUACUUAGAAAGUCACGGCUAACUACGUGCCAGCAGCCGCGGUAAUACGUAGGUGGCAAGCGUUGUCCGGAUUUAUUGGGCGUAAAGCGAGUGCAGGCGGUUCAAUAAGUCUGAUGUGAAAGCCUUCGGCUCAACCCGAGAAUUGCAUCAGG